rnacentral:rRNA from 1 species
CAUGCAAGUCGAACGGAAAGGCCCUUCGGGGUACUCGAGUGGCGAACGGGUGAGUAACACGUGGGUGAUCUGCCCUGCACUUUGGGAUAAGCCUGGGAAACUGGGUCUAAUACCGGAUAGGACCAUGGCAUUCAUGUGCUGUGGUGGAAAGCUUUUGCGGUGUGGGAUGGGCCCGCGGCCUAUCAGCUUGUUGGUGGGGUAAUGGCCUACCAAGGCGACGACGGGUAGCCGGCCUGAGAGGGUGACCGGCCACACUGGGACUGAGAUACGGCCCAGACUCCUACGGGAGGCAGCAGUGGGGAAUAUUGCACAAUGGGCGCAAGCCUGAUGCAGCGACGCCGCGUGAGGGAUGACGGCCUUCGGGUUGUAAACCUCUUUCGCUCACGACGAAGCGCAAGUGACGGUAGUGAGAGAAGAAGGACCGGCCAACUACGUGCCAGCAGCCGCGGUAAUACGUAGGGUCCGAGCGUUGUCCGGAAUUACUGGGCGUAAAGAGCUCGUAGGUGGUUUGUCGCGUUGUUCGUGAAAACUCACA